GAUGAACGCUGGCGGCGUGCCUAAUACAUGCAAGUCGAGCGAACAGACGAGGAGCUUGCUCCUCUGACGUUAGCGGCGGACGGGUGAGUAACACGUGGAUAACCUACCUAUAAGACUGGGAUAACUUCGGGAAACCGGAGCUAAUACCGGAUAAUAUAUUGAACCGCAUGGUUCAAUAGUGAAAGACGGUUUUGCUGUCACUUAUAGAUGGAUCCGCGCCGCAUUAGCUAGUUGGUAAGGUAACGGCUUACCAAGGCGACGAUGCGUAGCCGACCUGAGAGGGUGAUCGGCCACACUGGAACUGAGACACGGUCCAGACUCCUACGGGAGGCAGCAGUAGGAAAUCUUCCGCAAUGGGCGAAAGCCUGACGGAGCAACGCCGCGUGAGUGAUGAAGGUCUUCGGAUCGUAAAACUCUGUUAUUAGGGAAGAACAAAUGUGUAAGUAACUAUGCACGUCUUGACGGUACCUAAUCAGAAAGCCACGGCUAACCACGUG
rnacentral:rRNA from 1 species